AGCUUGCUACCUGACCUAGCGGCGGACGGGUGAGUAAUGCUUAGGAAUCUGCCUAUUAGUGGGGGACAACAUUCCGAAAGGAAUGCUAAUACCGCAUACGCCCUACGGGGGAAAGCAGGGGAUCUUCGGACCUUGCGCUAAUAGAUGAGCCUAAGUCAGAUUAGCUAGUUGGUGGGGUAAAGGCCUACCAAGGCGACGAUCUGUAGCGGGUCUGAGAGGAUGAUCCGCCACACUGGGACUGAGACACGGCCCAGACUCCUACGGGAGGCAGCAGUGGGGAAUAUUGGACAAUGGGCGAAAGCCUGAUCCAGCCAUGCCGCGUGUGUGAAGAAGGCCUUUUGGUUGUAAAGCACUUUAAGCGAGGAGGAGGCUACUUGGAUUAAUACUCUAGGAUAGUGGACGUUACUCGCAGAAUAAGCACCGGCUAACUCUGUGCCAGCAGCCGCGGUAAUACAGAGGGUGCGAGCGUUAAUCGGAUUUACUGGGCGUAAAGCGUGCGUAGGCGGCUUUUUAAGUCGGAUGUGAAAUCCCUGAGCUUAACUUAGGAAUUGCAUUCGAUACUGGGAAGCUAGAGUAUGGGAGAGGAUGGUAGAAUUCCAGGUGUAGCGGUGAAAUGCGUAGAGAUCUGGAGGAAUACCGAUGGCGAAGGCAGCCAUCUGGCCUAAUACUGACGCUGAGGUACGAAAGCAUGGGGAGCAAACAGGAUUAGAUACCCUGGUAGUCCAUGCCGUAAACGAUGUCUACUAGCCGUUGGGGCCUUUGAGGCUUUAGUGGCGCAGCUAACGCGAUAAGUAGACCGCCUGGGGAGUACGGUCGCAAGACUAAAACUCAAAUGAAUUGACGGGGGCCCGCACAAGCGGUGGAGCAUGUGGUUUAAUUCGAUGCAACGCGAAGAACCUUACCUGGUCUUGACAUAGUAAGAACUUUCCAGAGAUGGAUUGGUGCCUUCGGGAACUUACAUACAGGUGCUGCAUGGCUGUCGUCAGCUCGUGUCGUGAGAUGUUGGGUUAAGUCCCGCAACGAGCGCAACCCUUUUCCUUAUUUGCCAGCGGGUUAAGCCGGGAACUUUAAGGAUACUGCCAGUGACAAACUGGAGGAAGGCGGGGACGACGUCAAGUCAUCAUGGCCCUUACGACCAGGGCUACACACGUGCUACAAUGGUCGGUACAAAGGGUUGCUACCUAGCGAUAGGAUGCUAAUCUCAAAAAGCCGAUCGUAGUCCGGAUUGGAGUCUGCAACUCGACUCCAUGAA
rnacentral:rRNA from 1 species